UACGUAGGUGGCGAGCGUUGUCCGGAAUUACUGGGUGUAAAGGGCGUGUAGGCGGGACGGUAAGUCAGAUGUGAAAUACCGGAGCUUAACUCCGGGGCUGCAUCUGAAACUAUAGUUCUUGAGUGCUGGAGAGGAAAGCGGAAUUCCUAGUGUAGCGGUGAAAUGCGUAGAUAUUAGGAGGAACACCAGUGGCGAAGGCGGCUUUCUGGACAGUAACUGACGCUGAGGCGCGAAAGCGUGGGGAGCAAACAGGAUUAGAUACCCUGGUAGUCCACGCUGUAAACGAUGGAUACUAGGUGUAGGAGGUAUCGACCCCUUCUGUGCCGGAGUAAACACAAUAAGUAUCCCACCUGGGGAGUACGGCCGCAAGGUUGAA
rnacentral:rRNA from 1 species